rnacentral:rRNA from 1 species
AGAGUUUGAUCCUGGCUCAGAACGAACGCUGGCGGCGUGCCUAACACAUGCAAGUCGAACGAGAAAGUCCUUCGGGGCGAGUAGAGUGGCGCACGGGUGAGUAACACGUAGGUAACCUGCCCUAAAGAUGGGGAUAACUUUUCGAAAGGAAAGCUAAUACCCGAUAAGACCACAGAGUCUGCGGAUUCAGUGGUAAAAGGGAGCGCAAGUUGCGCUUUAGGAUGGGCCUGCGGUGCAUUAGCUUGAUGGUGGGGUAACGGCCUACCAUGGCUGCGAUGCAUAGCUGGUCUGAGAGGACGAUCAGCCACACUGGAACUGAGACACGGUCCAGACUCCUACGGGAGGCAGCAGUGGGGAAUAUUGGACAAUGGGGGAAACCCUGAUCCAGCAACGCCGCGUGAGUGAUGAAGGCCCUCGGGUCGUAAAGCUCUGUUGAGGGGGAAGAAUCCCCGGUUUAACACUCCGGGUUGACGUUACCCCUUGAGAAGCACCGCUAACU